GCGCUCGUCGUUGGGGAGUAGCCGAUUUCCACACCGGAGAUGUACGCGUCAACAUACUCGUUGCAAAACGUGGCGCGUACGGACUGUCACUGACAGUCAGGCGAGACCAUAGACACACUGCCGCAUUACGCCUGAGCGGGCGUAUAUUUACUGGGGGCAGCGGUGUGUCGUAUGGAUAUUUCCCCGGUCU
rnacentral:sRNA from 2 species